rnacentral:rRNA from 1 species
CAGCAGCCACGGUAAUACGUAGGGCGCAAGCGUUGUCCGGAAUUAUUGGGCGUAAAGAGCUCGUAGGCGGUCUGUCGCGUCUGGUGUGAAAUCCCGAGGCUCAACCUCGGGCUUGCAUCGGGUACGGGCAGACUAGAGUGCGGUAGGGGAGACUGGAAUUCCUGGUGUAGCGGUGGAAUGCGCAGAUAUCUGGAGGAACACCGAUGGCGAAGGCAGGUCUCUGGGCCGCAACUGACGCUGAGGAGCGAAAGCAUGGGGAGCGAACAGGAUUAGAUACCCCGGUAGUCCCUGUCUCUUAUAA